rnacentral:rRNA from 1 species
GACGAACGCUGGCGGCGUGCUUAACACAUGCAAGUCGAACGGAAAGGCCCUGCUUUUGUGUGUUGCUCGUGUGGCGAACGGGUGAGUAACACGCGAGUAACCUGCCCUUGUCUUUGGGGUAUAUUCAGGAAACUGGGGAUAUUACACGGUAUGAUCUCUUGCUCCGUGGUGGUGAAUGGAAAGUUUCGGUCGUUGGGGAUCGUCUGGCGGCUUAUCCGCUUCAUGGUGGGGUAGGGGAUGACCAAGGCUUUGAAGGCUAGGCGGCCUGAGAGGGGGACCGGCCACAUUGGGACUGAGAUACGGCGCAGACGCCUACGGGAGGCAGCGGGGGGGAAUAUGGCACAGUGGGCGGAAGCGUGAUGCAGCAACGCCGCGUGCGGGAAGACGGGUUUCGGGUUGUAAACAGCUGUCGCCUGAGACGAAGAGAGAGUGACGGUAAUGGGUAAAGAAGCACCGGCUAACUACGUG